rnacentral:lncRNA from 1 species
CAACUCCCACCCCAUCCCUCAAGGUCUGGGAAAGGUAUUAAGACUUGGGGCAUCGUGUGUUGCUGCAGAACUUUUCAUCAGGGACACUUUCGGCCUCAGGAAAUUAAUCUUCGAAUGGCAUGAGAUGCAUGGGGGCACUUGAGCACUUUGCAAUGGGUGCAAUGAGAAUAAAUUUCCAGGAAACUACUCCGUGUUUCCUUCAUCCCCUAAUGACCUGCCUGGGAACAGGCUGCACCUGCACACAGGGUCUCCUUUCCCACUUGAAGAAAAGCACAGCAUAUGCCCAUUCAUCUAGAAUCAUCCUAUCAUGAAUUGUCCCAGUGUGUAAAAUCCUCCAGGGUGGCAAAGGGACAAUUAGGAGUGCGGGCGGCAAUAUGUAAUCAAGGCAGUACACACUGGUAUUAGAAUUUCAUGUUUUUCCCUUUCUUAAGCAUAUUCCAAAACUUGGUGUUAAAAACUAGGCAAUUUUGCCAUUUCUAAAUUCUGGUAUUUUGUAACAGUAAUGGCAGAAGUGAUGAAAAUUUUGAAAAAAAAAUCAUACUGCUUCCACCCCUGAUGACUGCCUCCAAGUGCAUCAUUCCUGAGGUACAGUGUCUGGAAACUAAGAUGAGGAGGACUUUGGAAAGAAAUUUUGAAGACAGCAGCAGCACAUGUCAUAAAUGCGACAAACUCAUGGCAUGGCCCUGUAUCCUAUCCAUCCAUCCACCUAUCAUCGAUCAUCUAUCUAUUUUAGAAUUAGGAUAUUUGAGAGUUGCCAAAAGCAUGCUGAGAAAUGUCAGUCUGCAAGGAAGAGCCCUUUCUCCACAUUUUCAUUGUUUCACUAAAUGAUAAAGAGCUACCACUUGGCAAUUCUCCACUUUUUUGUAAACCUGAGCUCACCAGUAGCCUGUGCUUCCCCUCUACUUUGCAGUUGUCUAUUGAAAAGUUUGUAUCUUUUCAUGGGCUUAUGAGUUAAUUAGAAAAAAGAGAGCUCCCAUUCAUCUCAUCUAAAGACGCAAAAUGUUUUACUUGUCACGUUUAAUAUUUAUCAGAAUUUAUAAUAUAAUCAUGUUAUUUUAAUGAAUUACACUCGUACCUCAAUCCAAUUUUUUAAAAAACAAUUAGUCUUGGCCAGGCGCAGUGGCUUACACCUGUAAUCCCAGCACUUUGGGGGGUCGAGGUGGGGGGAUCAUGAGGUCAAGAGAUCGAGACCAUCCCAGCCAAUAUGGUGAAACUCCGUCUCUACCAAAAAUACAAAAAUUAGCUGGGCAUGGUGGCGUGCCCCUGUAGUCCCAGCUACUUAGGAGGCUGAGGCAGGAGAAUCACUUGAACCCAGGAGGCAGAGGCUGCAGUGAGCCAAGAUCACGCCACUGUACUCCAGCCUAGCGACAGAGUGAGAUUCCGUCUCAAAAAAAAAAAAAAUUAGUCUCAUGAUUACAUGAAAUAUAUGAUUAAAAAAACUUCUAUUUCUAUGCAUAUUUAUGAUGCAAGAUGAUGACUUCCAAGAAUAAACAUGUAUUGUAUUAGGAUAAAAUUCAGAGGGCUAUGUGGAAUGGAAAUUUGAGUUCCAGGAAAACAGCUAUAUACCAUUUCUGAUGAUUUAAAAAACCUUGUUCAUGUAUUUUAAGUAAAAAUUUAUAUAUUAUUUAGACACA